CUGUGUGGUAAAGGUGCCCUGCGACCCGCAGUGGAGACCUGACCUUGGUCCCUACUGUGACUAUCUCCUGCAGGGCCCUGAGCUGAGGCCACACCCUGAGAACUCAGAACUGAGGGAGCAGAUGGAGGAAGGGGAGCCGGCAGGUUGGGGGAUGAGAAUGACCGAAACAAGGACACGGGAACGGUGGUGCAGGUGGACACACACGGGUCACUGACGACCACUGCGGGGAGCCCCCUGGUGCCGGGCCUGAGUGGGAACCGUGAACACGGAGUUGGUGAAACCGUGUCCCAGCAUCCACGGAGCUCUCAGGCCGCUGGUGGGCCCUGGGUGACAACACUCCUGACCUCCCAGGACACCACCAGCAUCUGCCUCCAGGUCGUGUCAAGGUCAACAGAGCCAAGGUCUCCAGGGGGAGCUGCUGACUCCGUCAUGGCCACCUGGAGACAUCAUGAGGCCAGUUUAGUGGGACCCUCAAGUCCAUGUCUGCCAGAAAGGUGACGCUGGUCCCUGUUCUGGUGGAUAAUUACAUGUUUCCAUACCUUCCUAAUCUCCCAUCACAUCAAAAUUAAUUAAACGAUGACUCUAUUUUUAGAA